rnacentral:rRNA from 1 species
AGUACAGACGAGUUUGAUCAUGGCUCAGAUUGAACGCUGGCGGCAGGCUUAACACAUGCAAGUCGAGCGGAGACUUCGGUCUUAGCGGCGAACGGGUGAGUAAUGCGUGGGAAUCUACCCUGGAGCGGGGGACAACCCGGGGAAACUCGGGCUAAUACCGCAUACGUCCUACGGGAGAAAGGGGGCCUCUGAAUGUAAGCUCCCACUCCAGGAUGAGCCCACGUCCGAUUAGCUAGUUGGUAGGGUAAAAGCCUACCAAGGCCACGAUCGGUAGCUGGUCUGAGAGGAUGAUCAGCCACACUGGGACUGAGACACGGCCCAGACUCCUACGGGAGGCAGCAGUGGGGAAUAUUGGACAAUGGGCGCAAGCCUGAUCCAGCAAUGCCGCGUGUGUGAAGAAGGCCUGCGGGUUGUAAAGCACUUUCAGUGGGAAGAACGGCCAGGGUUAAUACCCCCGGCUUCUGACGUUACCCACAGAAGAAGCACCGGCUAACUCCGUG